AGAUUGAACGCUGGCGGCAUGCCUAACACAUGCAAGUCGAACGGGAGUAGCAAUACUCUAGUGGCGGACGGGUGAGGAAUACGUAGGAAUUUGCCCUUAAGUGGGGGAUAACCCGGGGAAACCCGGAUUAAUACCGCAUGACCUCGAAGAGCAAAGUGGGGGAUCGCAAGACCUCACGCUUUGGAGAAGCCUACGUCGGAUUAGCUAGUUGGUGAGGUAAUGGCUCACCAAGGCGACGAUCCGUAACUGGUCUGAGAGGAUGAUCAGUCACACCGGAACUGAGACACGGUCCGGACUCCUACGGGAGGCAGCAGUGGGAAUAUUGGACAAGUGGGCGCGAAGCCUGAUCCAGCAAUGACCGCGUGUGUAGGAAGAAGGUCCGUUCGGUUAGUAAAGGCUACUUUAAGGUUAGGGAAAGAAAAACGUACGACUACGUAACACGAGUAG
rnacentral:rRNA from 1 species